rnacentral:pre_miRNA from 1 species
GUGCCAAGCUUUCAAGUGUUGAGCUUAAGUCACUCAACAUUCGACUGCUUGACGGGA